AUUGUGGGAGGCUCUUUUUAUGGCCCAUCACGUCUCUCUAUUAAUUAGUGGAGGUAAUCAUGAGAAGGGCAAGCUCUCCAUGCCCUCCUGCCGCUACCUAUCAGCCUAUGCUAUUAAUACGGACGGCUUCCCACACGCUAUGAAGUAAUAUUGCUAGGUACAAUUUUUGAGAAUAUUUAAUAGAUAAAAACUUUUUUGACUGAUCAUGUUCUCCCACGGCUCCAGC
rnacentral:lncRNA from 1 species